rnacentral:siRNA from 1 species
UCAUCGAGUGGCCUGACCUGAG